GUCGAGGGGCAGCGGGUAGAUGAGCUUGCUCAUUUAUGCCGGCGACCGGCGCACGGGUGAGUAACGCGUAUGCGACCUGCCCGUCACAGGGGGAUAAUCCGGAGAAAUCCGGUCUAAUACCGCAUAAUAUCGUGAAGCUGCAUGGUUUUGCGAUUAAAGGAGCGAUCCGGUGACGGAUGGGCAUGCGUGACAUUAGCUAGUCGGCGGGGUAACGGCCCACCGAGGCGACGAUGUCUAGGGGUUCUGAGAGGAAGGUCCCCCACACUGGUACUGAGACACGGACCAGACUCCUACGGGAGGCAGCAGUGAGGAAUAUUGGUCAAUGGGCUUACGCCUGAGCCAGCCAAGUCGCGUGAGGGAAGACUGCCCUAUGGGUUGUAAACCUCUUUUGUCAGGGAGCAACGCCGGCUACGUGUAGCCGGACUGAGAGUACCUGAAGAAAAAGCAUCGGCUAACUCCGUGCCAGCAGCCGCGGUAAUACGGAGGAUGCGAGCGUUAUUCGGAUUUAUUGGGUUUAAAGGGUGCGUAGGCGGAAUGCCAAGUCAGCGGUAAAAUCGCGGGGCUCAACCUCGCUCCGCCGUUGAAACUGGCGUUCUUGAGUGGGCGAGAAGUAUGCGGAAUGCGUGGUGUAGCGGUGAAAUGCAUAGAUAUCACGCAGAACUCCGAUUGCGAAGGCAGCAUACCGGCG
rnacentral:rRNA from 1 species